AGGGGUGUCAAAAUGGUUCAAAAU
rnacentral:siRNA from 1 species